CAGCAAGCUGAAAUGAUUCCACAGAGUGCCAGCUGCAGACUGGGUGCCUAUGACGACUGCAUUGAAUAUUAUGUGUGCCUCAAGGGACAUGUUCUUGGAAUAUGCACUCUCUUACCAUUGUCUGAUUCCGAGGAGGUUUCUGAGCUGGAGUGAGUCAGAAUACAUGCAGGCUUGGAUUGUUUCUUGUGGAGUGAGCAAAUGUGGAUGAGAAGGGAUAGGCUAAUCCUAUAUUGCCCUGAAGCUGUAACCAACCCUCACAAUUCUCUUCUAGACUUCAACGACAUUGCUUCCUGUUCUUGCUCAGGUCAGUUGUUUCAUAGAGAAGGGCUGGAGGCUGUUGCUGACGAGCUUAUCAUCUGUUACUUACUGUGAGCGUGUAAUACUGUGUGUUUUUUAUGUAUGCCGAUAUUUGUACUUUCAUGGCAGAUUGGUAAUUGCAAUAAUUCACAGACCCCUGUUGUCUAUGAUCGAUCAGUUGCUUUACCCUUAGAUUUUCUAUGAAAAUCUUGAUACAAAUUAGAAGGUUCAACCUCCUGUAUGCCCUCUGCGGAGGAUUAUAUUCUGCUUCCAUGGCAUAAUUUAUAUUGGUUCCAGUGAAGGAUGGAGUUCGUGUGUACA